AGUUAGGGUUGGGAAUUGAGGUUGGGUUUAAGGUUAUUGUUAGGGUUGGGAAUUAAGGUUUGGGUUUAAGGUUAGGGUUAGGUUCGGAAAUUAAGGUUUGGUUUGAGGUUCUGGUUAGGUUUUGGAAUUAAAGUUUGGGUUUAAAGUUAGGGUUAGGUUUGGG